rnacentral:rRNA from 1 species
UACGAAGGGGGCUAGCGUUGCUCGGAAUCACUGGGCGUAAAGGGCGCGUAGGCGGUCGUGACAAGUCACUUGUGAAAUCUCCGGGCUUAACUCGGAACGGUCAAGUGAUACUGUCGGACUAGAGUACAGAAGGGGCAACUGGAAUUCUCGGUGUAGCGGUGAAAUGCGUAGAUAUCAAGCGGAACACCAGUGGCGAAGGCGAGUCCCUGGACAACUCCUGACACUGAUGCACGAAAGCCAGGGGAGCAAACAGG